GAGGAUGUAUCUCGGUUGGUAGAGUGCUUGCCUAGUAUGCACGAGGCCCUGGGUUUGAUCCCCAGCACCUCA
rnacentral:tRNA from 1 species